rnacentral:rRNA from 1 species
GAUGAACGCUGACAGAAUGCUUAACACAUGCAAGUCUACUUGAACUUCGGCUUGCGUGGCGGACGGGUGAGUAACGCGUACAGAACUUGCCUCACAGUUAGGGACCACAUCUGGAAACGAAUGCUAAUACCUGAUAUUAUGAUUUUAGGGCAUCCUAAAUUUAUGAAAGCUAUAUGCGCUGUGAGAGAGCUUUGCGUCCCAUUAGCUAGUUGGAGAGGUAACGGCUCACCAAGGCGAGGAUGGGUAGCCGGCCUGAGAGGGUGAACGGCCACAAGGGGACUGAGACACGGCCAUUACUCCUACGGGAGGCAGCAUUGGGGAAUAUUGGACAAUGGACCAAAAGUCUGAUCCAGCAAUUCUGUGUGCACGAUGACGUUUUUCGGAAUGUAAAGUGCUUUCAGUUGGGAAGAAAAAAAUGACGGUACCAACAGAAGAAGUGACGGCUAAAUACGUG